GGAUUUAUUUUAUUUUUUAUUUUAUGAUAUCUAGUCCCCCUAUCUCUCAAAACCCUAAGAACAUUUUCUCUCCAUCUAUGGUGUUCUACUACUAAUAUAUCUUCAUAUAGGGUGUUCCAUAGCCGUUUUCUUAUAGAUUUUCUCAAUCAAAGUACCAAUUUAUUUCGCCAAUCACUAAUUUCUAUAUUUUCUUUUACUCCUAAGCUUUGUCCUUUGAUAGUAAAUUGUGAAAUUGAGCCUUCCCUUCUUUUUUAUCACACAGAUUUUUUUCAGAUGGUGCUGUUGACUUUGCUCUAUAAAUGAGCAAAAUUACUCACUCUCUCUCACAUUUUUUUAUUCCUACUAUUAUGUUUGUGCAAUUUCUUUUGUUUUGAUUCUACUUUAAUUUGGCUGGUUCUCAAUUUCUGCCUGCAUUUCUCUUUCUGUCAAGCUUAAACUUGGUCGUGGAGAUACAACUUUGUUAGCCAGCUAAUUUGAUAAAAUUGCCCAUUGGAACAUGGUUGGUUUACAAGGUUCUUUAUACUUCUAGUUGUUACAUAUCCUUUUAGUAACAUAAUAUUCAAAAGCAAUGGAACAAACCUUUAAACCUAAGGACCAACAUAUAUGAAUUGUAUAUAAACUUUUGCCUUUCUCAAAAUAAAUGAAUAAUAUAGAAGUUGUUGCAGCACAUGUCCUUUAUCUUGUAUCUACAAUUUUUUUGUUUUUGUAUUGUACCCUAUUUUAAAAUGCAUUUAAGAUAUUUGACGACCACAAUUUAUUUAUGUGGCGAUUAGUAGUUUCUCUAGACCUACUAAAAUGAUAUGUUAAAUCAAUCUUUUAUUUCAUUCAAUUAAUUGAGAUUUAGCAGUUAUAUAAAAUUAUCGAAUGUUUUACCAAAUUGUUAAUCUUCUUUUGUAAAUAUCCAUUUUCGUGGAGUUUAUAUUCUUAUCGUGAAUUUCCAUUUAAUGUCAGCAUGUUAGUAAGUCAUCCACAAAGUCAUUUCAAUAAAACACAUGAUUGGUCUAUUGUUUGGUUAAUGGGAUUGUGAAGUACUUCCUGAGUUCAAAUUUUUGUGGCUUACUUCUCUUUAAUUCAAUCAUCCCAUCUAGCAUUUUUAAGUCCACAAGAUGCAAAGAGAAUUUUGGUACAUUCUACACAUCUUUAGUUUAAAACCAUAAGAAUCGAAUGUUCUCCUUAUUUUCUUAAACUGCAUGCUCAAUCAAACUAAGUCACAUAAAAUGUAAUGUAGGGAGUAGUUUGUGAUAUAUCAUCAUUUGAGUUUUUGAGAAAAAAGAAUCCUGGUGCUUAGACUUUUAAAUUGCUGAGGAGAUUGUCUCAUGAAAUGGAACCUAUGAACACUGCUCUGCUAUGUUUCUCAAACUCUUCAAAAAUAUUGUUCGGUGCAUGUAAGAUACUCUAAAUAUAAUGUAUUUUUUCAAGGAUCCAACACGGGUGCGACAAUAUUUUUGGAGAGGCCGAGUAACAUAGCUGGUCUAGUAGGUAUUGUACUAUCAACUUUGUGAAGACUUCCUCUAUAGUGUGCUUUCAAGAUGUGUUGUAAUGAAAUUUUCGGUGGUUGAUAUGUGCUUUCUGGUGGUUGUCAUUGUUUUUACUUGAAGCCAAUCACUUGGGACAUUGGUAGGAACUUUGCUUUUACUUAUUGCAGUGAUCUUUUAAUAUUUACUAGAAGUUCUGUGUUAUUUUUAAUUACAGUCAGUACCGUUCUAAUUGCAGGAGCUCUACUUUCUUAUUUCUUAGAGCCAAUUUAUAUUUUUUCUGUGACCAUUGGACAAUCCAAUAUAGCUUCUAAAACCUCCAUUAUUGAAGAUGAAGUGAUGAGAGCUAAUCACGAGUGUAUCUUACCAUUGUCCAACAAGCUAAUGGAUCCAUUUCAAGUGAACAAGGUUUCUGGAAAUUUUUAGCCAUGCUACUUCAUGUUAUCCUCACUGUUUGUAUGUUACACUUUCCCUUUUGCCUUUGGUAGCCACUUGUCUUUGUUGUGCCAAUUCCACCCAAGGAGUUUCAGCAAUCUGAAACUGCUCUGACCAUUUUAACAUGUGGGUAGAUCACAUAAUUUUCCUUUGUCUAGAUGAAUAAUCUAUUGGCACUGCUUUUAUCGACUUCAAAGUGCGCUCUGAUUUCAAGGUACUCCAUAUGCUGGAACAACUCUAGAUAGCAUGAAGUCAUUCUUGGACUCACUAGUAGAAAAUAGGGCACUUCUGCAAAGGGUGCUAUGUCUCCUUCCACUGAGUCUUUUUUAUGCAAGUGCAUUAAAUUAUUGGGCUUCAUUAACACACUGCAAGCCUUGCAAACUCGAUCAGUGUAUUAGUUAUUGUGAAGCCUUCGUAAUCUGCCUGGACUUUGCCAAUUGCUAGAAAUUAUACUAAGCAGAAAUGAACUUUGCUCCACUCCUAGAAGGUUGGAAUUUGUGUGAAGAUUAGCUCUCCUCCAUGAGCUUAACACAAACGGACCUAAAGUUGCUCAAGAUAGUUGUUGGACUUGACACUUUUCAAACAUAUGAACUGCUAACUUCUUACUCUGAAACCCAAAGAGCCUAGGCAAUUGGAUAAGCCAACAUGACAUCAUCAACAAUAAUAUUAUUUGAUAGAAUGUUAGUAUUUUUAUGUUUCUAUGAAGUAGUUGUGCAAACAAUGACGUGACUGAUGUAUUACGGUGUAUAUUUAUAUACAUAUAAAUGAAAAAAGAUUAAGGUA